UUAUGCGCGGUUGAUCUUCUUUUGAUUAGGGUUGAGCGGGAAGUUCCCCUGCAAUGCCCUAAUUUCACAGACCGCUGUAUUUAAAUGCUAGUGCCAAGGUUCUAGCAGCAUCGCUCGAUAUCCAGUGGCUGAAGGGUUUAUGCCUGCUUAGCAUAAACAAGGUUCAUUCUAUACCCAAGUUUCGUCCUGUUUCGUGUAUCUCUAGUAUUUGUAGUCAAUCUUCAUGCCGAGCGUAAAUGUUGAAAGUUUCGAGCUUUCUGAUUUUGUCAUUUCCGUUUCCUUUCUUUGUUUGCUUGGAAGGGGAUGGACCAUAUGAAUUUGUUUCAUGUUGUUUAUUUUUAUAAAAAAAUUGGUUGGUUGAUUUAAACCGCGAAACCUGUUGGGGUUACUAUCCUUUGUGUUGUGUUGAACCCCUGUUUCCGAUAUGCCGGAGUUGAUAUCUGAUUUCUCUUCUCUCGUGGUCAUUUUCUACAGCUUCCGUAUAAAUGAAUCUGUCUUAAGAUUACGAAACAUUGAAUUUUAUGUAUGAAUGUUUUCUUUUAGGGAUUGGAUUUUUUUGUGGUGAAAUUUGGGGAUUUCUGCGCCAAAAUAAGUUUCGGAAAUUUUAGAUUGCGUGUAUGCAUUGGAAAACACAAUGACAUAUUUGUUGCCAUUUAACUUCUUAGCACUGGUACUGAGGCUCCUUGAUGAUAACUGUCUUUUUGGUGCCUAUUUUCGAUGUGCUACAACAAAAGGGAUCCGCUUUGCAGCUUAAGCUUUUAAAUGUAUUUGCUGCCUGUAAUGCCCUUACAUUCACAAAUGGCACUAAAUAUAUCAUCCAAUCUUUUGUUUCGACCAGUUUGAUUAUUAGGAUUUCUGCGUGACGUUUUGAUAUCUAGUAGCUCGACGGCUUAUAAUUAGUGUUUUUAGGAUCGCAGCUCAAGGGGUCUUCUGUUAAGUGUUGCUUAAAAUUGCUUAUGCUUCUUGUUGGUCAUAGUCUGCUUUCGCAAAGGGGAAUUUGUACCCAAAUUCUUUUAUUACUGUCUACAACAAAUAUCAUAUAGAGAUUGAUUACCAAAAAUUUGCCAUCUUCCGGUUAUAUAUAAAUUCAGUCCUUGAAGAAAUCGGUGGCGAUUUAACAUGUUCUGUCUAUUUUGGUAAUAUUUGUUUUGACUUUAGUCUGUCAACAACUUUGCAUGAGUGCCCGUGGCUCUAUGUUAUUGAAUAUCCUGAGUCUAGUAUAACCGUGCAGGCAACAAAUAUGGCAUCCGCUUUGCAGCUGAAUCAAUAACAUAUUUCUGGUGCCUGGAAUGACAUACUUUCUAAAUGAUAUUAAUGCCAUCUUGGGGACAGGAUGUCGCCUACCUUUAAUAAGUUCCCCUCGUUUAGGGGGCAGAAUAGUUGAUUGGAGCCAUGGUGUACAAAUUAAUAUAUGGCUUGGAUUUAACACUCUGAAAGAGACAUGUUGAAAAGGAUGAGCUGCCAUUAAGUUGCUGUCUGGUAAGGUCAGAUGUUACAAGUUUCCAGCAUUAAGGCAUGGUUUGGGAAGAGAUGAACAUGUGGCUGUAAUUCCUUCUCGCAUAAACUUUACAUGCGAUGGCAUAUAUCCUUGUAUGAAAGGCAAGUGCUUUCCCUUCUUACUCGGGAACCUUUAGAGCUCAUUGUCUGAUUUUGUGGCCCUCUAUGUAAAUAAGCUCUAUUCUGACUGACUUCAAACCAUUAUUUUGGUUCAGGAAAGAUCACGUCGGCUCUAGAAUAAGAAGAACAAACCACAUUAUUGUUCCUCAGAAUCUCUAAGUUUUGAGCAUAUGUUAUUCCAUAUACAUCAAAUGAAACCCAAUUAAGGGGAUUGAUUUUUUGUUUGGAAGAUAAACAAACGAGGUUCCUCAACAUCAAAGAUAAUACAAGUUCUGAAUAUUUAUUUC